AUUGAACGCUGGCGGUAUGCUUAACACAUGCAAGUCGAACGGUAACAGGCCUUCGGGCGCUGACGAGUGGCGGACGGGUGAGUAACGCGUAGGAAUCUGCCUCAUAGUGGGGGACAACGUGUGGAAACGCACGCUAAUACCGCAUACGCCCUACGGGGGAAAGCGGGGGACCUUCGGGCCUCGCGCUAUGAGAUGAGCCUGCGUUAGAUUAGCUAGUUGGUAGGGUAAAGGCCUACCAAGGCGACGAUCUAUAGCUGGUCUGAGAGGACGAUCAGCCACACUGGGACUGAGACACGGCCCUGACUCCUACGGGAGGCAGCAGUGGGGAAUAUUGGACAAUGGGCGCAAGCCUGAUCCAGCAAUACCGCGUGUGUGAAGAAGGCCCUAGGGUUGUAAAGCACUUUCAAUAGGGAGGAAAACCUGUCGGUCAAUACCCGGCAGCUUGACAUUACCUAUACAAGAAGCACCGGCUAACUCCGUGCCAGCCGCCGCUGUAACAC
rnacentral:rRNA from 1 species